rnacentral:rRNA from 1 species
CCUACGGGUGGCAGCAGUGGGGAAUAUUGCACAAUGGGCGAAAGCCUGAUGCCGCGACGCCGCGUGAGCGAAGAAGGCCUUCGGGUCGUAAAGCUCUGUCCUAUGGGAAGAAAGAUGACGGUACCCUAGGAGGAAGCCCCGGCUAACUACGUGCCAGCAGCCGCGGUAAUACGUAGGGGGCGAGCGUUGUCCGGAAUGACUGGGCGUAAAGGGUACGUAAGCGGCUAGAUAAGUCAGAUGUGAAAGGCAUAGGCUUAACCUGUGUAAGCAUUUGAAACUGUAAAGCGUGAGUAAAGGAGAGGAAAGUGGAACUCCCAGUGUUACGGUGAAACGGGGAGGGAGCAGGAGGAAACCCAGUGGCGAAGGCGGCUUUCUGGACUUAGACGGACGCUGGGGAACGAAAGCGUCGGGAACAAGCAGGAUUAGAGACCCCAGUAGUC